rnacentral:rRNA from 1 species
UACGUAGGGGGCAAGCGUUGUCCGGAUUUAUUGGGCGUAAAGAGCGUGUAGGCGGCCGCACAGGUCCGUUGUGAAAACUGGAGGCUUAACCUCCAGACGUCGAUGGAAACCGUGCGGCUAGAGUCCGGAAGAGGAGAAUGGAAUUCCUGGUGUAGCGGUGAAAUGCGCAGAUAUCAGGAAGAACACCGAUGGCGAAGGCAGCUCUCUGGGACGGUACUGACGCUGAGACGCGAAAGCGUGGGGAGCGAACAGG